AUGACCGUGGCUCCACUGUCCCUGACUGACCCUUCGUCUGGACCCUCCCUCGCACAGCUGUGUCUGGUCUUCAGCUCCCUCCUGCUGGCACCCAGGGGCCCGGCCUGCAGGGUCUGCCUGGUUCUUGGAAGUCUUACCAGUCUUCCCAGCCAGCCUGGGCCCUGGGGAGCCCUGCGCACAGCAGCGGCUGAGGGGACGUCCUGCUCCAAUACCCACACUGCUCUGGGGUUUGCCCUCUCUCCCGAGGAGAUGCUGCUGGGGAGCUGGUAGGGGUGGGGUCUUUCCCUUUACAGAUGGGGCAGAUGCCAAGACUCGGCCCAGCCUGAGGAGGACAUGUGUCCUCAUGGAGAGGGUGCUCCAGCCCAGGCCAGGGAGUCAGUGCCCAGUCAGCAGCUCUGCUACCAGCCUGCUGGGCACUGGGGGCCUCUACUGGGUUAAAGGCAAUGCCUUUCCUCUGGCAUGGAAUUAUUUGUUGAUUUUCUGACACAUCUAGAUGUGAAAUUUUUACAAAUGUUGAAGUAGAGAAACAUUCGCACACAAAAGCAACAUAGUCAUGUGGGUCCAGAUGGCCUCAGCCCUAGAUGUGGCGUCCUUUGCUGCCUCUCCUUAGAAUAUCCUGUCCCGCCUCCUCCCACCUGGGCCUCCCCUUGGUAGAUCUCUCCCCUCCCUGACCCUAGCUUGUCAGUCUGUGCAGGUUUGGGCUCGGCCUCGGCCUCGGGUUGCAGCAGGGGUGGAUUUCAGAGCCUCAUGGCAGCAGCUAAGUGACCAGAGCUGGGAUGAGAGACGGGGAAGGGGCAGUGUGAGCAGCUCUGCAGGGCUGCCUAGCCCUGCUCCUGAGCCAGCCCCACCCUCUGCCCCCCCAGCCCUGGGCUCUGUGCCAGGGAUGGUAAAGAAUGGGGGCGUACCAGCCUGGCAGGAGUGGGAAGCAGCACGCAGGGGUCCCGGGCCUCUCCAGCCUUGCCCUCAUGCUUACCUAAGGUCCUGGUGUGGUUAACAAAGAGUUCACCCCCCACCGGGGGCCUGUCCUCACUGCCGCUCCAGGGGAAGAAACACCAGCCUCACUUCUGUAUGGACUGCUGAUGAGGCCUGCCAUCCUGUUUAGCGGGCAUUGUCUUUGGAGCAGGAGGAGAAGAGGAUGCAUCUCACUCAUCCUGGGUCCAGGCUGGCCAGCUGCUCAGGGCUCAGGCUAGGGCCACCCAUUUGACAUCCUCCCCCAAAACUCCCUCUCCUGGCCUCUGUAGCCACUCCUGUUGGGGUGACGGUGCUCAGUGUGACUUGUGCUGAUAAACCUGGUUCAUGUCUAAUAAAUAACAGUGAUGAAAAGA